AUUGAACGCUGGCGGCAGGCCUAACACAUGCAAGUCGAGCGAGCGGCGGACGGGUGAGUAAUGUAUGGAGACUGCCCGAUAGAGGGGGUUAACUACUGGAAACGGUGGCUAAUACCGCGUACUAUCGGAUAACCCAUAUGGGAUUAGGUAGUAGGUGGGGUAAAGGCUCACCUAGGCGACGAUCUCUAGCUGGUCUGAGAGGAUGAUCCUCCACACAGGGAUGUAGACGCGGCCCAGAGUCCUACGGAGGUCGCAGUGGGGAGUAUUGGAUAAUGCGCGCACGCCUGAUGCAGCCAGGCCGCUUGUAGUAAGAUGACCUUAGAGUUAAAAUGGACUUGCAGCUGGGAUGCGUUACCCUCAGAAGAAGCGCCGGCUAACUCCGUGCCAGCAGCCGCGGUAAUUC
rnacentral:rRNA from 1 species